GCAUGUUGUUGGUGGUGUGGUCUACAGCCAUAAAUUGCAAGAGCCAAGAUGAUUUGACUGCCUCUUCCUGUCUAUGAUCUGCCUAUUUGGGGGUCCAACUCAACCUCUGAGAAUCAAGUUCUCCCAUGUCCAUUGUAGGCACUUCUGGAACAUAAGAAGGAACAGAUCAGCCUCAUCAAAUCAAAUACUAAAUGGUUCUCUUUAUUGCGAGGCUGCAAGGUCACCCAAUGAGAGAGGGGCCAAAUAAGCUGGAACAUCAUCUAAUACACUGAAUAACGAUGUGUUUUCUUCCCCUUCCACCAUGAUUGUAAGUUUCCUGAGGCCUCCGCAGCCAUGCAGAAAGGUGAGUCAAUUAAACUCCUUUCCUCUACAAAUUACCUAGUCUUGGGCAGUUCUUUAUAGCAGUGUGAGAACAGACUAAUACAGUAAAUUGGUAGCAGAAGUGGGUUGCUGCUAUAAAGAUACCUGAAUAUGUGGAAACAACUUUGGAACUAGGUAGCAGUAAAAGGUUGGAAUAGUUUGGAGAGCUCAGAAAAAGACACAAAAAUGUGGGAAAGUUUGGAACUUCCUAGGGACUUAGAGGGCUCAGAAGCCAGGAACUUUCUAGAGACUUGUUGAAUGGCUUUGACCAAAAUGCUGACAGUGUUAUGUAGAAUGUAAUCUGGGCUGAGGUGGUCUCAUGGAGAUGAGAACUUGUUGUGUACUGGAGCAAAGAUAACCCUUGCUAUGCUUUACUAAAGAGAUUGGCAGCAUUUUUCCCUGCCCUAAAGAGCUAUGGAACUUCAAACUUGAAAGAGUUAAUUUAGAGUAUCUGUCAGAAUAAAUUUCUAAGCAGCAAAGCAUUCAGAGGAAGCAGAGCAUAAACCUUAGGAAAGUUUGCAGCCUGAUAAUAUAAUAAAAAACAAAAACCUAUUUUCUGGGGAGAAAUUCAAACCAGCUGUAGAAAUUUGCAUAAGUAAUGAGGAGCUGAUUGUUAAUCACCAAGACAAUGAGGAAAAUUUUCCCAGGGCAUCUCAGAGAUCUUCACAGCAGCCCUUCCCAUCAUAGGCCCAGAGGCCUAGGAAGGAAAAAACGGUUUCAUGGGCUGGGCCCAGCCCCCUCCUGUUCUGUGUAGACCUAGGACAUGAAGUCCUGCAUCCCAGUUGCUUCAUUUACAGCUUUGGCUAAAUGAGUCAAGGUUCAGCUUGGGCCAUUGCUUCAGAGGUUGCAAGUCCCAAGCCCUGGGAGCUUCCACAUGGUGCUGGUCCUGCAGGUGCACUGAAGAUAAGAAUAGAGGUUUGGAAACCUCUUUUGAGAUUUUAUAGGAUGUAUGGAAAUGCCUAGAUGUUCAGGCAGAAGUUUGCUGUAGGAGUGGGGCCCUCAUGGAGAACCUCUGCUAAGACAGUACAGAAGGGAAAUGUGAGUUCAGAGUCCCCACACAGAGUCCCCACUAGGGUACAGCAUAGUGAAGCUGUGAGAAGAGGGUCAUCAUUCUCCAGACUGUAGAACUGUAGAUCUUCUGACAGCUUUCACUAUGUGCCUAGAAAAGCCACAGAUACUCAAAAACAGCACAUAGAAGCAGCCAGGAAGGGGGUUAUACCCUGCAAAUUUACAGAAGGGAGCUGCCCAAGGCUAUGGGAGCCUACCUCUUAUGUCAGUGUGACCAGGAUGUGAGUCAAAGGAGAUCAUUUUGGAGCUUUAAGAUUUAAUGACUGCCUCACUAGAUAUUGGACUUGCCUGAGGCCUAGCCCCUUUAGGCAAAUUUCUCCAAUUUGCAAUGGGCGUAUUGAUCCAGUGCCUGUACCCUCAUUAUAUCUUGAAAUUAAAUAACGUUUGAGUUUACAGGCUUAUAGGUGGAAGGGAUUUGCCUUCUUAGAUGACACUAUGAACUUGGAAUUUAGGGUUAAUAGUGAAAUGAGUUAAGACAUUGAGGAACUUUUAGGAAGUCAUAAGUUUGUUUUGAAAUAUGAGAAAGAUGAGGUUUGGGAGGGACCAGGAGCAGAAGGUUAUGGUCUGGCUUUGUGUCCCCACCCAAAUCUCAUCUUGAAUUGUAAUCUGAAUAAUCCUUUUGUGUUUGGGGAGGUAUCUUGUGGGAGGUGAUUUGAACGUGGGGGCAGUUUCCACAUGCUGUUCUUAUAAUAGUGAGUUAUCACAAGAUCUGUUGAUUUUAUAAGGGGUUUUCCCUGCCUUUGCUUUGCCCUCCUAUUUCCUACCAUCAUAUGAAGAAGGAUGUGUUUGCUUCCCCUUUCAUCAUGAUUGUAAGUUUCCUAAGUCCUCCCAGGCAUGUGAAACUGUGAGUCAAUGAAACCUUUUUCCUUUAUAAAUUACCAAGUCUUGGGCAGUCCUUUAUAGCAGCAUGAGAACAGAUUAAUAAAGAUAGUUUGCAAAUACUUUCUCUCAUUCUGUGGGUUUCCUCUUCACUUCAAUUAUUGUUUCCUUUGCUGUAUGAAAUUUUUUUAACUUUAUAUGAUCCUAUUUGUUCAUUUUUGCUCUGGUUGUGAUUCUUUGGGGAUAUUACUCAAGAAAUCUUUGCCCACACCAAAUGUCCUAGAGAGUUUUAUCAAGGUUUUACUUGAGUAAUUCCAUAGUUUAAGAUCUUAGAUGGAAGUUUUUAAUCCAUGUUGAUUUGAUUUUUAUAUGUGGAAAGAUAUAGAAGUGUAUUUUUGUUCUACUGCAUACGGAUAUCAGUAUUUCUAGAUCCAUUUAUUGAAGAGACUGUCCUUUCCCUAGUGUAUUGUCCUGACACCUUUGUCAAAAAUGAGUUCAUGGUAGAUGUAUGGAUUUAAUUCUGUGUUCUUUGUUCUGUCCAGUUGGUCUACAUAUCUGUUUUUAACCCAGUAACAUGCUAUUUUGAUUACAAUAGCUCUGCAAUAUAAUUGAAGUAAGUUGAUGUGAUUUCUUCAGUUUUGUUCUUUUUGCUCAUGACAUUUGCUAUUAUAAGUGUUUCGUGAGUCCAUAUACAUUUUGGAUUUUUUUUUCUGUUUCUCCGAACAAUUUCCUUGGUGUUUUGGUAGAGAUUGCAUUGAAUCUGAAAAUUGCUUUGGGAUUUUACAUAUUUACAUGAAAUAUUUUUAUUUUAUUUCUUUAUUUUCUAUCUAUGUGAGUCUUUAAAUGUGAAGUAUGUUUUUGGUCUGAAACACAUAAUUGGUUCUUUUUUUCUUUUCUCUGCAUUCAGCCUCUCUGUGAAUUAAAAAGAAUUAAAAUUGUGUCUUUGAAUUGAAAAGCUUAGUCCAUUAACAUUCAAUGCUAUAAUUGAUAAGUAAGGACUUACUACUGCCAUUUUUUAUUUCUAUCUGGUUUUGUCCCUUCCUUCCAUCUAUCCAUUCGUCCUUCCUUCCUUCCUUCCUUCCUUCCUUCCUUCCUUCCUUCCUUCCUUCCUUCCUUUGAAGGUACUUUUCUUUGGUCAUAUGUUUUACUUUCUCGCUUGUUUUAUUUUUUGUGUAUCUGCUGUAGAUGUUUUAAUUUAAUUUACCAUAAGGCUGGCAGAAAAUAUAUUAAAGUAUUUUGUUUUAAACUGAUGGCCACUUAAAACUAAUUGUAAAGAUAAGAAAACAAAAUAAUACUUGGUAAAAGAGAAAUCUAAUAAAUACUGUACAUUUUAACUUUAU
rnacentral:lncRNA from 1 species